UACAGAGGGUGCGAGCGUUAAUCGGAAUGACUGGGCGUAAAGGGCGCGUAGGCGGUUAUGUAGGUGUGAUGUAAAAUCCCUGGGCUUAACCUAGGAAGGACAUUGCAAACGGCAUGACUGGAGUAGAGUAGAGGGUGAUGGAAUUUCCGGUGUAGCGGUGAAAUGCGUAGAUAUCGGAAGGAACGUCGAUGGCGAAGGCAGUCACCUGGACUCAUACUGACGCUGAGGCGCGAGAGCGUGGGGAGCAAACAGG
rnacentral:rRNA from 1 species